CUUUGGAAAAAAUUACCAAAUCAGGAACUUAGCCAUUUUCUGCGCUGGAAAACUGUGGAAAAUUAUUUAGAUUUUUUUAAACUGUCGACUAAUAGUACAAUAACAUCGGGAUCGAAGUCGGGCUCGAUGAACAUUUAAUUUUAACAACAUGCUGAAAUUCAAAAAUAUCGAAUGCCAUGUUGAUAUUGCACAGAAGGAAAGUUGGAAAGAGAGUGUCACGAACAGGAGAAUCAUAAUUAGUUUGGGAUGGAAGAAGAUGAGGACAUUUUAAGACCCGUUGCUGCAGUGCCUGAGAUGAUUCCCACAGCGCUGGCGUUUUGAUAAAAGUGGAUAUACAUGUAGAUGCUUAGCCAAUCACUUACUAGGCUUGUGAAUAUGGAAUCCGGAUGCUCAAAAGAAGGACAAGAGCUGUAAGAAAAAAAA